rnacentral:rRNA from 1 species
AGUGAACGCUGGCGGUAGGCCUAACACAUGCAAGUCGAACGGCAGCACAGUAAGAGCUUGCUCUUACGGGUGGCGAGUGGCGGACGGGUGAGGAAUACAUCGGAUUCUACUUUUUCGUGGGGGAUAACGUAGGGAAACUUACGCUAAUACCGCAUACGACCUACGGGUGAAAGCAGGGGAUCUUCGGACCUUGCGCGAUUGAAUGGGCCGAUGUCGGAUUAGCUAGUUGGCGGGGUAAAGGCCCACCAAGGCGACGAUCCGUAGCUGGUCUGAGAGGAUGAUCAGCCACACUGGAACUGAGACACGGUCCAGACUCCUACGGGAGGCAGCAGUGGGGAAUAUUGGACAAUGGGCGCAAGCCUGAUCCAGCCAUACCGCGUGGGUGAAGAAGGCCUUCGGGUUGUAAAGCCCUUUUGUUGGGAAAGAAAAGCAGCAGGUUAAUACCCCGCUGUUCUGACGGUACCCAAAGAAUAAGCACCGGCUAACUUCGUG